GCGCCCUGCCUUUCAGGCAUCCUCUCCUAAAACUCAGUAGGCCGGUCGAAAGAUCGGCCUUUUUUUUUCGUCCGG
rnacentral:sRNA from 1 species